AAACUAACAAGGAUUCCCCUAGUAACGGCGAGUGAAGCGGGAAGAGCUCAAAUUUGAAAUCUGGCGGCAUCCUGUCGUCCGAGUUGUAAUCUAUAGAAGUGUUUUCCGCGUCGGACCAUGUACAAGUCCCUUGGAACAGGGCGUCAUAGAGGGUGAGAAUCCCGUCCUUGACAUGAUCUCCGGUGCUAUGUGAUACACUUUCAACGAGUCGAGUUGUUUGGGAAUGCAGCUCAAAAUGGGUGGUGAAUUCCAUCUAAAGCUAAAUAUUGGCGAGAGACCGAUAGCGAACAAGUACCGUGAGGGAAAGAUGAAAAGCACUUUGGAAAGAGAGUUAAACAGUACGUGAAAUUGUUGAAAGGGAAACGAUUGAAGUCAGUCAUGCUCUUUGGGUUAAGCCUUUCGGGGUGUAUUCCAUUGAGUGGGGUCAACAUCAGUUUUGACCGCUGGAAAAAGGCACGAGGAAGGUAGCACUCUCGGGUGAACUUAUAGCCU
rnacentral:rRNA from 1 species